ensembl:lncRNA
GGGGAGCUCAGGUGCAUGCAAAGAACCUGAGUGACCAGAAUAGAUGGAGCCAGGAUCCACCCCUUCCUAGACCUCAUUUAAGAAUUGGCAGUGGAGAUAGGGGUGUUUUGCUGGAGAUUCCUCUCUCUUGUACUGGUGGCCUUCUAGAGCAAAUAAUCUGCUGAUCAAGGUAUAAAAAGGCCUCACAUUUUGCUGUGAAUUUGGAUAAGUCGUAAGUAGUUCACUGGGCCUAACUACAACUCCAUGGAGGGAAGAGCACCACGCCCAGUGGGUUGUGGAGUACUGCUGAAAUGCCCAGAUAUUUUUGUCUCCAGUGCUCCAGAGAAUUACCUUGCCGACAGCAAGUCCAUCCAAAAUUCUACCAUUACAUUCUUCUUACAACAUAAUUACUACAUUCUUGGAAAUGCACUGCAGAAAUGGAUGAUCGAGUGCAGCCUGAGGACUGGGUUGGAAAGAAAUGGAGUGAUGACAGAAAAGGAAAGUGGGAAAGCUAACUUUUAUUGUGUAUACAAUAAAUAAUACUGUGUUAACUGCACUUAGCUUUGAUUUCUCCACUAUAGUAAUGGAGACUGUAGAAACUAGAAAUUAAAGAAAUCUUUCUC